UGAAGGGAUCGGUCUUGAAAACCGACAGGCGGGUCAUACCGCGCGGGGGUUCGAAUCCCUCUUCCUCCU
rnacentral:tRNA from 1 species